rnacentral:rRNA from 1 species
UAGUCCACGCUGUAAACGAUGUCAACUAGCCGUUGUUCUCAUUGGAGAUUAGUGGCGCAGCUAACGCAUUAAGUUGACCGCCUGGGGAGUACGGUCGCAAGUCUAAAACUCAAAGGAAUUGACGGGGACCCGCACAAGCAGUGGAGCAUGUGGUUUAAUUCGAUGAUACGCGAGAAACCUUACCAGCUCUUGAAUCCUGAUUACGAUUUUCAGAGAUGAAUUUUUCAGUUCGGCUGGAUCAGUGACAGGUGUUGCAUGGCUGUCGUCAGCUCGUGUCGUGAGAUGUUAGGUUAGGUCCUUUAACGAGCGCAACCCCUAUUCUUAUUUGCCAUCAGGUUAUGCUGGGAACUAUAAGGAAACUGCCAACGUCAAGUUGGAGGAAGGUGGGGAUGAUGUCAAGUCAUCAUGGCCCUUAUGGGCUGGGCUACACACAUGCUACAAUGGUGGUUACAGUAGACGCAAUGGAGCAAUCCGGAGCAAAUCCUC